CUGAACCAAGGAGAUAAUCUAAAAUGGUUGUUGUAACUAAAUAUAAAUGCAUCUUCUUUUUGAGCUAUUCUGUUGGUUUUGCAUUUCUUUAUGUUUGCAAUAAUCUAUAUAGGUUUAAUAUUCAUGCAGUAAUCUGGCAGUAGUUAGCAGAAAUUAAAUAAAGAUUAUAAGAAUAAGAAGAGUUAAACAAAGGCACAUAGUCUAUUUUAUGAGCUGCUGUUCUGAGCCAGUAUAGCUUUGUGGUGACAAAAUUAGUUAGUGGUAGUACACUCUGAGGAGAAAACAUUCAUUAAGCAUUCAAUGGGGCACUUAGCUGUUUCAGACCUCAUAAAGUCUUUUUUAUUAUUUGAACUGUCCAUCAAUAGGUGUUUCGUAGCAUUGGGUAACCACAUCAGUAGCCCAGAUCUGCCUGCGCUGUUGAAUACUAUGUCUGCAUCAUAAGCAAGAUGAUGAGGAAUUGCAACAAAAUCAGAAUUUUAUGCCAUACUUUGCAUAUUUGGACAGUAUAUCUUGCCUCAGUGGACAUGUUCCUCUAAAAGACAGAAGCUGCUCAUCAAUUGCAACGUUCUUAUAGGCCAAGAUUCAUUGUGUCUUUGGGUUGUAUCCAACAUGGCUUCUAUUGAACUUAAUGGACAAUGACUAACACUAAUUUCAAUGUGUCUGCUCUAACUUAGUUGGAUCCAACCCUUGAUAAAUGUAUUUCACAUUUCACUCUCAGGGAGAAGCUUAUCUCCCAUGAUGAUUGUUUGGUGUUGAGGUAGAUAAUAAAAUCUGAGGACUCUA